rnacentral:lncRNA from 1 species
GAGAGAUUGCUACAGCUUGGGAAACCAGCAGAGAAGCUGGAAGGAAAGGAAGUCCAAGGGCAGGUUGUGCUCACUCCAUUGCCGUGGAUUCAUACACAGUUGGCAUGGCUGGGCUUGGCAGUGGGAGCUGGAGCCCAUCUCUUCAAGCUCUCAGAAGCAUUUUCCAUGCUGUGUGGAGUGAAAGUUCUAGGAACAAAGCCAUCAUUGGGAGGAAGCCAACUGGAUAAAGAGAUGAGAGAUUGCUGGGGACUAGAUACCCAAGACUGCAUGAAGAGACCACGGCGAGAGUGGCCUGGACCAACUAGGUCUGUGUGA